AUUGAACGCUGGCGGCAGGCCUCACACAUGCAAGUCGAACGAGUGGCGGACGGGUGAGUAAUGUCUGGGAAACUGCCUGCUGGAGGGGGAUACCUACUGGAAACGGUAGCUAAUACCGCAUACCAUCGGAUGUGCCCAGAUGGGAUUAGCUAGUAGGUGGGGUAAAGGCUCACCUAGGCGAUGAUCCCUAGCUGGUCUGAGAGGAUGACCAGCCACACGGGAAAGAGGACAUGUUCCAGCCUCCUACGGGAGGCGGCGGUGGGGAAUAUUGCACAAUGGUCGCAAGCCUGAUGCCGCCAUGCCGCGUGUAUGAAGAAGGCCUUCGAGUUGUAAAGUACUUUCAGCGGGGAGGCGUUACCCGCUGAAGAAGCACCGGCUAACUCCGUGCCAGCCGCCGCGGUAAUAC
rnacentral:rRNA from 1 species